UCAAACUCAAGAACUCUUUAUUGCCUUUAGAAAGUCUCAAAAACUAAAAGCUCUCAACACGUUAAGUUCUAUCACAUCAUGAUAGCUCCUUAUAUAACAACUCAUAGUUUCCUAAACUCAUUAGGAUAAACUUAACUAGAUAACUACAAACCAAGAUAUUCAAAUCCUAAUCUCAUUAGGAUAACAACAAGAUAACUUCAAGCUUAAGUUAGGUCAACAAGCACCCCAUUGGUCAUUUAUAAUAAAGGAUCUCAAGACUAAGAACUGAAAAAAUACAGAUAAAGCAAGAGAGAUAGAGAAUCGGUUGAGUGCAGAGAUUUCUUUUCUGACUUUUUAGAAUCAAUUUCUACAUCUGUCUUCAUCUGACUUGUAGGGCUUUAACCAAUAAGGUUGAUCUAAGAAACCGCUUCGGUCGCUUACUCUAAAGCCGCGGCAUAGGGAGGUGAAGGACGUCUAUGUCGACGUGGAUCUCUACAAGGUUCAUUUUUUCCACGGAUAUUGACGCUUGGGAUAGGAGAUCCACAAUUCCGAGAGGGCGGAGUGGAUAUCCAUAUAGGAGGAAUGCGAACUUGGAUACAUUAAAAGAUUACACACAUAAAAAUAUCAGUUUAAAAAUAUAAUAAAAUAUCACUAAACCACCCGUAGACGAUUUAGUUCGAUUUGACUUCUUGGAGUUAUGCGUUAAGAAAAAGGAUUACAAGCUUGGUUUUUUUUUGGUGAAAUACAAGCUUGGUUUUUUUCGAGACCAUUCACAUUAAUCUUUAUAAAAGUUGUAGUAUGUUGUUUAUUAAGUUUCGUUCUUAGCAGAAUUUUAAGUUUAAAGACCGCAUCACUGAUGUAGAUAUGGUUUAGAAAAAUAUAGUUUAGCAAAUUCAUUCAAAAAACAUUAUUGCUAAUUAUUUAAGGCAAAUUUUAAGAAAAUCACACAUUUUUAUAUAUUUUAUAUCAUAAUAAAUGGUUAAAAGAAUACCUUACCUUUUUCUGAACUAAAAAAUAUAAGAAAAUUAAAAAAUAAUAGACUUUGAAGUUAGAAGAAGAAGAAUAAUAUAUUCAAAAUUUAUUGUUUCCUAAUUUUCUGGAACUCUAAAAAAAUAAGACAUAAUUUAUACACAAAUUAACAGAAUACAUCAAAAAUAUUUAAAUUAGUGAAAUAUGCCAAAAGUAAACUUUGAACCCAAAAAUUAAACUUUCAGUCUUAAAAUCUAAACUCUGAACCCAAACCCCUCAAAUUUUAAAUUUUAUUUUAUCUUUAAUUCAAUGAAAAAUAUACUUAAAUGAAUGAGAAUAAAAGAGUAAUAUGAAGAGGUCAAUUGAGCUAUUGAUUAUUUUAAGUAAUUGUAUUUUCAUACAAACAAAUAAUAGGCUACUCUUCAAAAUAAAUAGUCGAAAGAUCAAUUGGUGUUUGGAACAAAAACUAAAAUUAAAAUUGUGGUAUUUUAGGAUAUUUCUAAAAAACUUCUGACCUUCAUCACGGAAAUGGAAUGGUGUAGCCUGCGUGACUCGAACAUGAAAUAGACAUAGAAGUAUAAGUAGACAUGUUUGUAUAUUCUUCAUCGCCAUUGCUCCUCUUCUAUAUCACAUGUUAGACUAAUUUUGAGUUGUAUAAAUAGAACAACUGAAAUUGCCAGAGAAAAGAAAAAUCAAUCACAUAUUUAUUCAAUAAUUAAUAUUCAAACUUAGUUAUUAGUAUUACCAUUGAAUAUGUGUUUGAUUUUUCUCACCCACUUUUUAUUGAGGAGACUAUUAUUUAUUGAGAAGACAGAGGCA
rnacentral:lncRNA from 1 species